UGGAAUUUCAGAGCUUGGGCUGUGGUAUAUAAGAGAGGUGUUCUGGGGUUAUCGGGGAAUCGGCCAAGAUGCAGGACAUGAGGCACCUCACUGAGGCAUACUGAAAGCUUCUGAUAGCGGAGAUCCUUUUCUUUGGGACUUUAUUUUGAAUAUAUGCUUAUAUGUAGAUACUUUUAUCUCCACUACUUAUGUACUGAUGUAUUAACUUCCUCUUAGAGGUUAUUUUGGAGAAAUAGGUUCUGUAAAUCUGUAUCUUAGGCUUAUUUUGGGUUCUCUUAUAUAUAUGUUAUAUACUUAUGUGCUCAAGCCGGUUUGUCUUCGCGAGCUGAGUCCUGAGUUUUGAUAUUUGUA